UAAUAAUUUACGAAGUGUUUUUUUUUAUAUAUAUACAUAUGUGCAUUUCAUAAAUGUAUAUGGUUUUGGAUAAGUUCCAUGUUAAUUAAGUUGAUAUUAUUUUUAUUUUUGUAUUUUUAUAUUUCUUCUGUUUAUCCAGUCAUAUUCACUUGUCCACGUUGGGUGUCCAAUCUAUGCUCUAGAUUAAGGUGAAGGGGGCGGGAAUAAUUGAGGGCAAAGUUGAACGAGGAAGAAUUGGGAGAGCACGAGGGAGAAGAGCGUGCGAUCAUCUGGUGUUAUAUUGUUUCACAAAAUAUAUAGUGUAACUAAUGCUAUAAUGUGUUACAAUAGUUUAUGUAGUUAAGGUGUUGUCGGAAUGAGAACAGAAACUGAUACUACAGAGACGGUUGGCGAGUCGUCAGCAUGAGGAUUCGUGGCAGUUUCAGAUGAGGAUGAUUACAGAUGACUUGUGAGCUAACGUGAGUGCUCGGAAUUCCUUUGGCCUUAAGGAAAUCGCCGCGAUAGUGGAGUUGACGGACAUCUAACCUCGUGAGGUGAAACACGCUCUUCUGAUUGGAUGGUUCAAGGUAUUUUUAUUUUUUUUGUUUGUUGCUCAGUGUUGAGUGAAGCGGUCGUUUGUUUAUUUGUUGACCACAACGUACCCCAGCAUCAAACAGGCCUGCAACGUGAAAAUAACGAACUUUCAUAUUGAUUGAGGUUAAGUGUGAGCUCAUAUUGCCGGCUUAGUAUUUGUUUGAAGAGUUUAUUAAGUUUGAGUAAGAGUUUGAUGACUCAAAUUUGAAGUAUAACAACAGAGGGGAACAAAUAUCCAUUUACAAAAAGAGUGAAUGUGAAAUGUGUACUUGAUUUUAUUGUUUUAUUCAUUUGUGUGAAUUUGUGAAAUUCAUAUUGCUUAUUUAAAUAAUUUUAUUUUACAUUUGGAAAAAAUCCUGAAACGUGAUCAUUUUACCUUUUAUCCAGUAAAUUGUUAUUUACAGUCUA